rnacentral:lncRNA from 1 species
AUGGUUUGGCCUCAACCAUUUCGUCCACACCCUUUCAUGGUCUAUAAAUAGGACCCUUUGGGUGUCCUAUUCCUCACAAUUUGAUAUGCAAAACAUCUUUCAUCCUCUCUUCUAUCCAAAAUCAAAAUCAUUUCAUUUAUUUUGAUUUUCCUUCUUUUCAUCCUUGGAGUACAUAAGCCUAAAUUUGGUUCGUUGUACUUGUGUUUUGGAGUGCUACAAACACAAGUGUAGCCGUUGUAUCUUGGGAGUCGAUUGCCGAAAUCCGUAGGCACCGUUGCGGGG